GAUGAAAACGUAGCGAAAUGCGAUAAGUAAUGUGAAUUGCAGAAUUCAGUGAAUCAUCGAAUCUUUGAACGCACAUUGCGCCCGCCAGUAUUCUGGCGGGCAUGCCUGUCUGAGCGUCAUUUCAACCCUCAUGCCCCUAGGGCGUGGUGUUGGGGAUCGGCCAAAGCCCGCGAGGGACGGCCGGCCCCUAAAUCUAGUGGCGGACCCGUCGUGGCCUCCUCUGCGAAGUAGUGAUAUUCCGCAUCGGAGAGCGAUGAGCCCCUGCCGUUAAACCCCCAACUUUCCAAGGUUGACCUCAGAUCAGGUAGGAAUACCCGCUGAACUUAAGCAUAUCAAUAAGCGGAGGA
rnacentral:misc_RNA from 1 species